rnacentral:rRNA from 1 species
UACGGGGGGCAAGCGUUGUUCGGAAUUACUGGGCGUAAAGGGCUUGUAGGUGGCCAACUAAGUCAGACGUGAAAUCCCCCGGCUUAACCGGGGAACUGCGUCUGAUACUGGAUGGCUAGAGAUUGGGAGAGGGACGCGGAAUUCCAGGUGUAGCGGUGAAAUGCGUAGAUAUCUGGAGGAACACCGGUGGCGAAGGCGGCGUCCUGGACCAACACUGACACUGAAAAGCGAAAGCCAGGGGAGCAAACGGG